CGUAACAAGGUACUCCGUUGGUGAACCAGCGGAGGGAUCAUUACCGAGUUUACAACUCCCAAACCCAAUGUGAACGUUACCAAACUGUUGCCUCGGCGGGAUCUCUGCCCCGGGUGCGUCGCAGCCCCGGACCAAGGCGCCCGCCGGAGGACCAACCAAAACUCUUAUUGUAUACCCCCUCGCGGGUUUUUUUAUAAUCUGAGCCUUCUCGGCGCCUCUCGUAGGCGUUUCGAAAAUGAAUCAAAACUUUCAACAACGGAUCUCUUGGUUCUGGCAUCGAUGAAGAACGCAGCGAAAUGCGAUAAGUAAUGUGAAUUGCAGAAUUCAGUGAAUCAUCGAAUCUUUGAACGCACAUUGCGCCCGCCAGUAUUCUGGCGGGCAUGCCUGUCCGAGCGUCAUUUCAACCCUCGAACCCCUCCGGGGGGUCGGCGUUGGGGAUCGGCCCUGCCUUGGCGGUGGCCGUCUCCGAAAUACAGUGGCGGUCUCGCCGCAGCCUCUCCUGCGCAGUAGUUUGCACACUCGCAUCGGGAGCGCGGCGCGUCCACAGCCGUUAAACACCCAACUUCUGAAAUGUUGACCUCGGAUCAGGUAGGAAUACCCGCUGAACUUAAGCAUAUCAAUAAA
rnacentral:rRNA from 1 species